rfam:Thermoactinomyces sp. DSM 45891 genome assembly, contig: Ga0066384_106
GAUUGAAAUCGAAUAGAACCGUAGACAGUAGGAGUGCGGGAAGCACUUAAUUUUCCUACCGAGGUGUUUUUAUAAAACCCUUGGCCUUCGACUGUCUACGAAGGCUUUUCUUUUUCCUAC